GGUAAUAUGGCUGAGCCCAAGCAAUAAACUGUAAAUUUAUUCACGAAUAAUUAAUUCUUUUACCA
rnacentral:tRNA from 1 species